CUGAAAUAAAUUAGUAUUAAAUAUUUUUCCUAGUAAUGCCUGACCCUUAGUAAUGUGUUUCCGAAGGCUUGUGAAUUAUUACCACUCUGCAGAGCUUGCAAUUGAUGCCAUUUUUUAGUGAUACACUCUUUGUUACGAGCAUUAGAACUUCUGCCUCAAGAGUGGUUCAGUUCUAUCAAAGGCUGUCCAGUUCAGAGGUGCUUGAAGUGUAUUCAGUGCUGCAGAGAAAGGUAAAUUCUGUGACCAUGGGAAGCAGGGCCUUGCCAGGAUGCUUUCAAAGUUGUCUAGCUGAUCACUUCUUUUCCUAGCUUGGGUCUUUUUAAUCUGAUGUGGUGUUUUCUGUACUCUAUCUGCUAUGCUGAGAAGGAAUUUCUAAUAUUUAAAGGGCAGUUGAUACAAUCCUUUUUGCAGGAGAGGGGUGAAAAAGAGCUGAUACUGUCAAAAGAAUCUCAGCUUGACACCACCUGAGUGACUGCAGACUUCUGCACUUCCCGAUUGUGAAAUGCAGAGCAGAUGAAUUCCAUAGAAGAGAGUUCCACAGCCCGGUGUCAUCACACACGAUGAAUACACAGCUCAACAGCCAUUUCUUUUCCCAUUUAUAUAAUUCAAUUAUAAAGUUAUGGAAUUCUACUUAUGACCAGGUUGUAUUGUGAAGUUCAAAUCUCAAGUAUAUCUGAAAACCAGACAUAAGCAAGGGAUCAGAAAGAACAGCCAAAUAUCUUUUGUAUGCUAGCAAAAGAGAGCAGGUAUAAACUCUCAGAAGUAGUAAAACACCUUCAUGGAAAAAAAUAGUCCAUGCUAGAUGAAAAUGGAUUUAUUCUUAGCCAUUGCUGUGCCUACUGAAACCUCAGGUUCCAUUUUCGCAUUUCAUGUUAUGCUGGUGGAUAUAUAUUCAUUUUAAUGGUGCUGUUUCUCAAUAUGUAAUGAGUGACAAAAGGUCAUCAUCUGAUUAGUUGCCACACUGAUUCUAAGAUGUGGUGUUUGACCUUAGAUUCACUGUAUAUAUUGUAACUCGAUUUACAGUGUAACAUACAUUGGAUUUUGACCAAAAGGAUGAAAACAGUGAAUGAAAGAUUACUGACAUUCUUUCUGCACUGAAGCUGACAUCAUACAGGAAAGCAGUGCAGCUGUAACUGAUAGUUCCCAGAGUGAUUUCAUGGGGAUUGUUUAAUGUUUGUUUAAUAUUUGCAGCAGCUCAAAAUGAAAGUCCUUGUUAAAUUGAUCAAGACAGUGAUGGGCAAAACCACAAAGUUUUAUUCUUUUUCUUUAUAGCCAUUUUUGCUGUGCAGAAGUGGUUUCUAGCAGGGAUACAAGAUCAAAUGGCAGACCUGAGAUAUUAUUUUGAAGAAGAUUUACCCAGUUUCACAGCAGUGAAGUAGAAGAGCUGUCUUGUUACCUUGCUG